CCUACGGGUGGCAGCAGUGGGGAAUAUUGCGCAAUGGGCGAAAGCCUGACGCAGCGACGCCGCGUGAGGGAUGAAGGUCUUCGGAUCGUAAACCUCUGUCAGCAGGGAAGAACGGUCACUGUGCUAAUCAGCAGUGAAUUGACGGUACCUGCAAAGGAAGCACCGGCUAACUACGUGCCAGCAGCCGCGGUAAUACGUAGGGGGCAAGCGUUAUCCGGAUUUACUGGGUGUAAAGGGAGCGUAGGCGGUGAUGCAAGUCAGAAGUGAAAGCCCGCAGCUCAACUGCGGGACUGCUUUUGAAACUGUAUGACUAGAUUGCAGGAGAGGUAAGUGGAAUUCCUAGUGUAGCGGUGAAAUGCGUAGAUAUUAGGAGGAACACCAGUGGCGAAGGCGGCUUACUGGACUGUAAAUGACGCUGAGGCUCGAAAGCGUGGGGAGCAAACAGGAUUAGAUACCCCAGUAGUC
rnacentral:rRNA from 1 species